rnacentral:ribozyme from 16 species
ACACACACACACACACACAUACAUAUAUGUAUAUAUAUCUAUAUAAAAGCAAAUAUUGUCUAAAUUUGUUAUUUUUAUCAAAAAUCCUCUAUUUUUUUCUUUUCUUUUCUUUUCUUAUUUCUUUAUUAUUUUUUUUUUUGUAAAAAGGGAAAAAGACGCGGGGAAAAAGCCAAAAAAAA